rnacentral:rRNA from 1 species
AUUGAACGCUGGCGGCAUGCUUUACACAUGCAAGUCGAACGGUAACAGGCCUUCGGGUGCUGACGAGUGGCGAACGGGUGAGUAAUGCAUCGGAACGUACCCAGAGGUGGGGGAUAACGCAGCGAAAGCUGUGCUAAUACUGCAUGUGAUCUGAGGAUGAAAGCGGGGGACCGAGCAGCAAUGUUUGGCCUCGCGCCUUUGGAGCGGCCGAUGUCGGAUUAGCUAGUUGGUGGGGUAAAGGCCUACCAAGGCGACGAUCCGUAGCUGGUCUGAGAGGACGACCAGCCACACUGGGACUGAGCCACGGCCCAGACUCCUACGGGAGGCAGCAGUGGGGAAUUUUGGACAAAGGGCGCAAGCCUGAUCCAGCAAUGCCGCGUGCGGGAAGAAGGCCUUCGGGUUGUAAACCGCUUUUGGCAGGAACGAAACGGUGUCCGCUAAUACCGGGCGCUAAUGACGGUACCUGCAGAAUAAGCACCGGCUAACUACGUG